UAUAGACUACUGAAAGAGUUGUGAGACCAAGGUUAGUCCAGCUUCCUGGUUGUAGGCUACCACUUUUAUAAAAAUGAGGCUUAAACCAAACAGGGGUGUUGGUUUGUUUUUGUGUCUUGUAUUGCUUUACAUUGGCCAAACAUGUGGUAUAAGCCUCGAAAUAGUGCAAAGAGACGAGCUGCAUCGUAAGGAAAGGUCCGAGAACAUUCACACUGGGACAAUUACUUUCGGCACAGGGAAUAUUUCACUGGGUCGAAAUCUGGAAUAUGAGGGACGAUCUGUUGGAGAAAACACUGCAGACGAUGGCUCCGUUAACUUUCAAGCAGACGAUCCACAUCCUGGCCUGGUGGGUGGACAAAGCACCACUGAAGACUUUAAGGCUUGGCAUCGUAUGCAACCAAAUUUAUUAUGUACUAAUGACCUCAUGGAGUUCUCUGCAAAAGGCCCUGGAUGUUCUUCACUCCAGUUAGACAGAGGUGGCACGCCUCUCACUAAGCCAGCUACCAGGAGACUGUGGCUACUCUGUGAAAAGGACUGCAGUGGGCCUUGUGUUUGUCGCCCCAUUUGAUGGUUGUGAUGUUAUAAAACAGGGAAAUGGCCACUUGCUGCAGAUGUUGUGGCACGACAAUCCAGUAACCCUCUCCUGCAUCGUAAUCAAGCUCAGACCAAGUCUCUCCAGUUUUAUCCACUACUCCAGCUCCAACUACAGUAGCAGCUGCUGGGCUUCCUCCACAGAAUCAACAGUGGAUGCCCCCAUUCUUUGGAGGCUACUACCCUGUAAUGCCUGUGGAGACUCCCUCUGAAACUACUGUUGCACCAACUACAAAAGCACCAACUACAGAAGCACCUACCACAGCUGCCAGGCUUCCUCCACAGAAUCAACAGUGGAUGCCCCCCUUCUUUGGAGGCUACUACCCUGUAAUGCCUGUGGAGACUCCCUCUGAAACUACUGCUGCACCUUGCCCCCUUAAAACUACGGUUGCACCAAUUACAGAAUCACCUUCCACAGAUGCGGAGCUUCCUCCACAGAAUCCGUGGAUGAAUCCUCUCUUUGGAGGCUACUACCCUGUAAUGCCUGUGGAGACUCCCUCUAAAACUACUGUUGCACCAACUACAGAAGCACAUUCUACAGCUUCCACAGAAUGUGGAAUCAAUUCAACAGCACUCCAAAACCAUUCCCUACUCAACCUUUUAUUUUCCAACUCUCUAUUCCAAUGUGUGUCAUUUAAUGCAUAUAUUAAAAAGUGUAUUUGGAA